AUCCAGCUGACGACUGCUGAAUAGGACGAAACGUGCGUCCUGGAU
rnacentral:hammerhead_ribozyme from 1 species